GACGAACGCUGGCGGCGUGCUUAACACAUGCAAGUCGAACGGAAAGGCCCUGCUUUUGUGGGGUGCUCGAGUGGCGAACGGGUGAGUAACACGUGAGUAACCUGCCCUUGACUUUGUGAUAACUUCAGGAAACUGGGGCUAAUACCGGAUAGGAGCUCCUGCUGCAUGGGGGGGGUUGGAAAGUUUCGGCGGUUGGGGAUGGACUCGCGGCUUAUCAGCUUGUUGGUGGGGUAGUGGCUUACCAAGGCUUUGACGGGUAGCCGGCCUGAGAGGGUGACCGGCCACAUUGGGCCUGCGAGACGGACCAGACUCCUACGGGAGGCAGCAGUGGGGAAUAUUGCACAAUGGGCGGAAGCCUGAUGCAGCAACGCCGCGUGCGGGAUGACGGCCUUCGGGUUGUAAACCGCUUUCGCCUGUGACGAAGCGUGAGUGACGGUAAUGGGUAAAGAAGCACCGGCUAACUACGUG
rnacentral:rRNA from 1 species